rnacentral:rRNA from 1 species
UACGUAGGGGGCUAGCGUUGUCCGGAAUCAUUGGGCGUAAAGGGCGCGUAGGCGGCCACCGCAAGUCGAUUGUGAAAUCUCCGGGCUUAACCCGGAAAGGUCAACCGAUACUGCGGGGCUAGAGUGCAGAAGGGGCAACUGGAAUUCUCGGUGUAGCGGUGAAAUGCGUAGAUAUCGAGAGGAACACCUGCGGCGAAGGCGGGUUGCUGGGCUGACACUGACGCUGAUGUGCGAAAGCUAGGGGAGCGAACGGG